UCUUAUUUGCUUACUAAAAAUGACGUAAGUUAAGCCAAAACACAUUAAACACACCACAUCUUAUGCUGUAUCCUGUGUAAAUGUACCUAUACGAAUACUUUGAACAAAAAUCGAUUUUACUCAAAUGUGAUGUCUCUGUAGAUACGGCGUUUUGGCUAAGCACGGCAGCAAUGUUGUGCAUAUCUGCAUAUGACGUCUGAAGCCAUCAUGCACACCUGACAGUAUAAAACGGUAUGAUGUCUUUAGGCGACAGCUGCAUUCAAAGGGUUAAGACAAUUAAGGUUCGUGUCUUCGAUUGUACUUGAUAAGAUAGCCUAUAAAUGUCGACUUCAUGGUCCUGAUAGAUUUUACUAAUUAUUAUUAAAUUGUAGUCUAAAAAAUAUUCAAAGCAAAUACUGGAAUAUUUAGUCCCCAUUGAAGAUCAAGAACACCCUACUUUAUUGAAGGAUGUAGCAUCCUUAUGUAAUUUAAACGACGUAGAGUCUCAACAAAAUUUAAAGAGACCUCAUUCAGAGGAUGUCGAAGGACCUUCAAAUAAAAUCACCAAAGAAGUCCACGAAGACGAAGAUGUUUUGUACGAAAGAGUUUUGGAUAUAACACGAGGAAAAAACAGGAAAAACAAUGAAGACGAAGGAAAAACCAACAGUGAAGCUACUCCCUUACUAUCUUUAAUAAAGGAAAAUAAUUCUUUAACAGAUGAUAGAAAUGCACUUGAAGCGAAACUUCUUGCUGCAGAAAAGCAGUUGAGAGAGAAAGAUGAUGAGCUUGAACGCAAAAAUUUAGAAAUAUCACUUUUGAAAGAGCGACACGCGAAUGAAUUAGAAAUAGAAAAAAUUGAACAUUUAUUUUAUUAAAUUAAAUUUUAGUAUUA
rnacentral:lncRNA from 1 species